AUUGAACGCUGGCGGCAGGCCUAACACAUGCAAGUCGAACGAGUGGCGGACGGGUGAGUAAUGUCUGGGAACCUGCCCGAUGGAGGGGGAUAACUACUGGAAACGGUAGCUACUACCGCAUACCCUCGGAUGUGCCCAUAUGGGAUUCGCUAGUGUGUGGGGUAAUGGCUCACCUAGGCGACGGUCCCUAGCUGGGCUGAGAGGAUGACCAGCCAAACUGGACGUGAGACACGGUCCCGACUCCUACGGGAGGCGACUGUGGGGAAUAUUGCACAAUGGGCGCAAGCCUUAUGCAGCCAUGCCGCGUGUAUGAAGAAGGCCUUCGGGUUGUAAAGUACUUUCAGCGAGGAGGCGUUACUCGCAGAAGAAGCACCGGCUAACUCCGUGCCAGCAGCCGCGGUAAUUC
rnacentral:rRNA from 1 species